rnacentral:rRNA from 1 species
AUUAGAGUUUGAUCCUGGCUCAGGAUGAACGCUAGCGGCAGGCCUAAUACAUGCAAGUCGGACGGGAUCCAUCGGAGAGCUUGCUCGAAGAUGGUGAGAGUGGCGCACGGGUGCGUAACGCGUGAGCAACCUACCUCUAUCAGGGGGAUAGCCUCUCGAAAGAGAGAUUAACACCGCAUAAUAUAAUUUCCCGGCAUCGAGGAAUUAUUAAAUAUUUAUAGGAUAGAGAUGGGCUCGCGUGACAUUAGCUAGUUGGUAGGGUAACGGCUUACCAAGGCGACGAUGUCUAGGGGCUCUGAGAGGAGAAUCCCCCACACUGGUACUGAGACGCGGACCAGACUCCUACGGGAGGCAGCAGUAAGGAAUAUUGGUCAAUGGGCGGAAGCCUGAACCAGCCAUGCCGCGUGCAGGAUGACUGCCCUAUGGGUUGUUAACUGCUUUUGUCCAGGAAUAAACCUCUUUACGAGUAGAGAGCUGAAUGUACUGGAAGAAUAAGGAUCGGCUAACUCCGUGCCAGCAGCCGCGGUAAUACGGAGGAUCCGAGCGUUAUCCGGAUUUAUUGGGUUUAAAGGGUGCGUAGGCGGCCUAUUAAGUCAGUGGUGAAAUACGGUGGCUCAACCAUCGCAGUGCCUUUGAUACUGAUGGGCUUGAAUCCAUUUGAAGUGGGCGGAAUAAGACAAGUAGCGGUGAAAUGCAUAGAUAUGUCUUAGAACUCCGAUUGCGAAGGCAGCUCACUAAGCUGGUAUUGACACUGAUGCACGAAAGCGUGGGGAUCGAACAGGAUUAGAUACCCUGGUAGUCCACGCCCUAAACGAUGAUAACUCGAUGUUGGCGAUAGACAGCCAGCGUCCAAGCGAAAGCGUUAAGUUAUCCACCUGGGGAGUACGCCCGCAAGGGUGAAACUCAAAGGAAUUGACGGGGGCCCGCACAAGCGGAGGAGCAUGUGGUUUAAUUCGAUGAUACGCGAGGAACCUUACCCGGGCUUGAAAGUUAGUGAGGAGUGCAGAGACGCACUCGUCCUUCGGGACACGAAACUAGGUGCUGCAUGGCUGUCGUCAACUCGUGCCGUGAGGUGUUGGGUUAAGUCCCGCAACGAGCGCAACCCA